rnacentral:rRNA from 1 species
AACGAACGCUGGCGGCAGGCCUAACACAUGCCAGUCGAGCGGACCUUUCGGGGUCAGCGGCGGACGGGUGAGUAACGCGUGGGAAUAUGCCCUUCUCUACGGAAUAGUCCUGGGAAACUGGGGGUAAUACCGUAUACGCCCUUUGGGGGAAAGAUUUAUCGGGGAAGGAUUAGCCCGCGUUGGAUUAGGUAGUUGGUGGGGUAAUGGCCUACCAAGCCGACGAUCCAUAGCUGGUUUGAGAGGAUGAUCAGCCACACUGGGACUGAGACACGGCCCAGACCCCCAGGGGGGGAGGCGGGGGGGAUUAUUAAAGAAGGGGGACACCCCUGACCGCCCCUGGCGGGGGGGGGGAAGAGGCCUUGGGGGUGGAAAACCCCUUUCGGUGGGAAAGAAAAGGAGGGGACGAGAAAAAGAGCCCCGGCCAACCCCGGUC